GCCAACGUAGCUCAGCUGGCAGAGCAGGUCAUUCGUAAUGAUCAGGUUCGUCGGUUCGAAUCCGACCGUUGGCUCCA
rnacentral:tRNA from 1 species